AGAGUUUGAUCAUGGCUCAGACUGAACGCUGGCGGCAUGGCUAAAGCAUGCAAGUCGAACGGGCCCGCAAGGGCCAGUGGCGAAAGGGUCAGUAAUGCGAUCGAACGUACCCCGAGGUGGGGGAUAGGGUGGCGAAAGUUACCAUAAUACCCCAUGAUCUCUCCGGAGCAAAGGUUUACCGCCUUGGGAGCGGCGAUCGUCCUAUCAGGUAGUUGGCGGGGUAAAGGCCCACCAAGCCGUAGACGGGUAGCGGGUGUGAGAGCACGGCCCGCGACAUCGAAACUGAGACACUGUUCGGACUCCUACGGGAGGCUGCAGUAACGAAUCUUCCGCAAUGGGCGAAAGCCUGACGGAGCAAUGCCGCGUGUGGGAUGAAGCGUCUCUGACGUGUAAACCACUGUCAGGGGGCAGGAACAAUGACCGCCCCCAAAGGAAGUGGCGACUAACUCUGUGCCAGCAGUCGCGGUAAUACAGAGGCCACAAGCGUUAGUCGGAAUCACUGGGCUUAAAGGGUGCGUAGGCGGCUCGAAAAGUGCUUUGUGAAAUCCCGGGGCUCAACCCCGGAACAGCAGGGCAUACUGUCGAGCUUGAGGCAGGUAGGGGUCGCGAGAACAGUAGGUGGAGCGGUGAAAUGCGUAGAUAUCUACUGGAAUGCCGAUGGUGAAGACGCGCGACUGGGCCUGUCCUGACGCUGAGGCACGAAAGCGUGGGGAGCAAACAGGAUUAGAUACCCUGGUAGUCCACGCCGUAAACGAUGUAUGCUAGAUCGGUGCGGUUUUGACGCCGUAUCGGUCGACGUGAAAACGAUAAGCAUACCGCCUGGGGAGUACGGUCGCAAGGCUAAAACUCAAAUGAAUUGACGGGGGCUCACACAAGCGGUGGAGCAUGUUGCUUAAUUCGAGGCAACGCGAAGAACCUUA
rnacentral:rRNA from 1 species